CUCAGAUUGAACGCUGGCGGCAGGCCUAACACAUGSMAGUCGAGCGGUAGAGAGAAGCUUGCUUCUCUUGAGAGCGGCGGACGGGUGAGUAAUACCUAGGAAUCUGCCUGAUAGUGGGGGAUAACGUUCGGAAACGGACGCUAAUACCGCAUACGUCCUACGGGAGAAAGCAGGGGACCUUCGGGCCUUGCGCUAUCAGAUGAGCCUAGGUCGGAUUAGCUAGUUGGUGAGGUAAUGGCUCACCAAGGCUACGAUCCGUAACUGGUCUGAGAGGAUGAUCAGUCACACUGGAACUGAGACACGGUCCAGACUCCUACGGGAGGCAGCAGUGGGGAAUAUUGGACAAUGGGCGAAAGCCUGAUCCAGCCAUGCCGCGUGUGUGAAGAAGGUCUUCGGAUUGUAAAGCACUUUAAGUUGGGAGGAAGGGCAUUAACCUAAUACGUUGGUGUCUUGACGUUACCGACAGAAUAAGCACCGGCUAACUCUGUGCC
rnacentral:rRNA from 1 species